UAGCAAGCCUCCAGCGUGCUUGGGUCUGCCGUGACCCUGUGCAUUCCUACAGUGCUUGCUAGAACAGUUUUGAAACGGUUUGAGGCCUUGCCCUGCUCUAUCCAGAGCAAGGUUAUAGAAAUUUCAGACAGUU
ensembl:snoRNA